CUGUUCCAUAAUUUCUAUGUCCAUCAGUAGGGAUUCGUUUAGUCUCCAGUUCAUGGUUUUGGGUCGCAAGAGUGGUGAGUCCCAUCAGUACCGACCAGGGUCCGACUGGGUAGCAGCUUCAGUUUAAUCUCUCUGCAGCUUGGGUAGUGAUUCCUGUUGUAGAAACAGGAAGUCAAUCCUUGAGUAUCUCAUGAGGACCACCGAGUAAUGUGUGUAGUCCUUUACCGUGGGGUGCAGUGCAGCAAUCCACCAAUCUUAAGCGUCAGAGGGCCUUCUGUAUGCCACGGAUUUCCCGCACAGAGAGAGUGGCCAGUAUUCUACGUAUUUAGCAGUGUGACUGGUUUCAGUUGGGGACAUACAGGCCACACCCCCCAGUAAUGAGUCGUAUGUGUGCUUUGCGAUGGUGCCUUUGAGAAAGAUAUGUCUGCACUCUGGGUCAGUGACCCUGUCCAAUUCCAUGAAGUCAAACCGUGUGGCCAGAAGUAUGGCGACACCUGCCUUUUUGGAAGUGUGGUGGUUGCUGUAUGCACCGUGUGAGUACAUGCUGUCCUUCAGGAAUGGAGCCGACCCCUCCCGAAAGUGUGUCUCUUGCAAAAAGGUGAUCAAGAUUAUUUUUUGUAGUAGUCUCCUGAGAAGGUGCAUCCGGCGUUGCGGGUUGUUCAGACCCCUGCAAUUUUGAGUGAGGACACUCAGCAGGCUAGGGUGGUAAGACAUAGCUGUUGUCCGGGAGACCACGUGGAGAAUGUACUGUGAAUUUUGUGAAAGGCACUACCGCCGUCUCUGUGCUGAAGCACUUUGGGGGUUGGCGGGACUCCGACCAGUGGUGGGGUCUCCGGCGGGACCUGGUUUAGGUGUCCCAGAUAUGUCUUCCCCGCUUGACAUAGGCUAUCCGUAGGUACACAACUAAAGGGAGCACUCCCGGCACAGGUUUUAAGUCACAGGGAAGGGGUGAUGCGGCAAAAGUGUGGGGACAUUCGCUCCCAUCGGGCAGGGUGUGUGUGUUUCGGGUAAGCAAUGUAAAUGUGUGUGUUUCCUGGUGUCAGUUAGCCCCUGCGUCGGAGUCAGGGUCGGGUGUCCCUACAAGGUUCCCGCGAAUGUGGGGAGGCGGGGGACUGCGAUAGUAACAAUAACCUUGUGUUAACAAGGAGAUCCAUGCGACUACAAAGGCAGAGGGCCCCACAUUCAGCCUGGGUUUAUCACUGCGCAGCGCCCUCUCCCCGCAGUGAUAAUUGUUCACACAGAUAGGGUUGGGUUGCAUGCCUAGCUCAGGUUGGUAGUUAUCAGUGGAGUGUGGUAACU